rnacentral:rRNA from 1 species
GACGAACGCUGGCGGCGUGCUUAACACAUGCAAGUCGAACGGUAAGGCCCUUCGGGGUACACGAGUGGCGAACGGGUGAGUAACACGUGGGUGAUCUGCCCUGCACUUCGGGAUAAGCCUGGGAAACUGGGUAUAAUACCGGAUAGGACCACUGCCUGCAUGGGUGGUGGUGGAACGCUUUUGCGGUGUGGGAUGGGCCCGCGGCCUAUCAGCUUGUUGGUGGGGUGAUGGCCUACCAAGGCGACGACGGGUAGCCGGGCUGCGAGGGUGACCGGGCACACUGGGACUGGGAUACGGCCCAGACUCCUACGGGAGGCACCAGUGGGGAAUAUUGCACAAUGGGCGCAAGCCUGAUGCAGCUACGCCGCGUGAGGGAUGACGGCGUUCGGGUUGUAAACCUCUUUCAGCACCGACGAAGCGCAAGUGACGGUAGGUGCAGAAGAAGGACCGGCCAACUACGUGCCAGCCGCCGCGGUAA